UUUAAUAGUUAGCUUUAUGGUGACUUUGAGAAAAGUUGAAAAGGGAAGUUGGUUAAAAUCCAACGCGGUCCCGCCACUGUGUGGAGAAGAAUCCAUUUUAAACCACUGUUUCAGAAAGAAAUGGGAAGGAAAAUGGAUUUGAUGACUCCAAGCCAGGAGACCUGCCAUAAAGAAGUACAUUUU
rnacentral:ncRNA from 1 species